AGGUGGAAACCUCCAGUAGCAGGUAUGGUCAAAAUCAAUGUCGACGGAGGGCUAUCCCGUGAUGGCACCACUGGUGCUUCUGCCGCUGUUUGCCGGGAUGACGAAGGCCGGUUCCUAGGAUCCUCGUCAAUGGUGUUUACUGGAGUUACAGACCCUGCCUCUUUGGAGGCCUUAGCAUGUCGAGAAGCUCAAGCACUAGCCUUGGAUUUGAAUCUAGGCAAAGUCAUUAUUUCAUGCGAGAGCAAAGGGGUAGUGGACGACAUAAAAAAUGAUGCUCGUAGCAUGAACGGCACUAUCAUUCAUGAGAUCAGGGAGAACAAAUUGCUUUUUCAGGCUUGCAAAGUCAUUAUUUAA
rnacentral:rRNA from 1 species